rnacentral:rRNA from 1 species
CAGCCGCCACGGUAAUACGAAGGGGGCUAGCGUUGCUCGGAAUUACUGGGCGUAAAGGGCGCGUAGGCGGACAGUUAAGUCGGGGGUGAAAGCCCGGGGCUCAACCUCGGAAUUGCCUUCGAAACUGGCUGUCUUGAGUACGGGAGAGGUGAGUGGAACUCCGAGUGUAGAGGUGAAAUUCGUAGAUAUUCGGAAGAACACCAGUGGCGAAGGCGACUCACUGGCCCGUUACUGACGCUGAGGCGCGAAAGCGUGGGGAGCAAACAGGAUUAGAGACCCGCGUAGUCCCUGUCUCUUAUAC